CAACAAUCCAACACAUGAAAAGGUGUCACGGCCAUGACAAAAUGCUACGUCCAGCUAAGGGAAAUUGUUGGAUAUUAUUUGGGACAUUUGGAGGUCGAAAGAAAAUGCCACAUCAAUUUUAUUUUAAACUAAAAUGAGUGAGGAGGUGUGGAUUUAAAUUAUGGGAGUGCACAUGGAGAUUGGCUUGAUUGGAGAAGCCAGGAAGUGGUGCUGGAAGAAAAAGAGGCUCACGGCCUGCACCCAACAGAAGCAAGUCCAGCACCUUGAUUCCAGCAGCUUCAGCACACAGGACGAGCGUCCGCACACAUCCAGGACGAGCGUCCGCAUACAUCCAGG
rnacentral:sRNA from 1 species